AUUGAACGCUGGCGGAAUGCUUUACACAUGCAAGUCGAACGGCAGCACGGGGGCAACCCUGGUGGCGAGUGGCGAACGGGUGAGUAAUGCAUCGGAACGUGCCCAGUCGUGGGGGAUAACUACUCGAAAGAGUGGCUAAUACCGCAUACGACCUGAGGGUGAAAGCGGGGGACCGAAAGGCCUCGCGCGAUUGGAGUGGCCGAUGUCAGAUUAGCUAGUUGGUGGGGUAAAGGCCUACCAAGGCAACGAUCUGUAGCUGGUCUGAGAGGAUGAUCAGCCACACUGGGACUGAGACACGGCCCAGACUCCUACGGGAGGCAGCAGUGGGGAAUUUUGGACAAUGGGGGCAACCCUGAUCCAGCCAUUCCGCGUGAGUGAAGAAGGC
rnacentral:rRNA from 1 species